rnacentral:rRNA from 1 species
CCUACGGGUGGCUGCAGUGGGGAAUAUUGGACAAUGGGCGAAAGCCUGAUCCAGCCAUGCCGCGUGUGUGAAGAAGGCCUUCGGGUUGUAAAGCACUUUCAGUGGGGAAGAAAGCCUUGGGGCUAAUACCCUCGAGGAAGGACAUCACCCACAGAAGAAGCACCGGCUAACUCCGUGCCAGCAGCCGCGGUAAUACGGAGGGUGCGAGCGUUAAUCGGAAUUACUGGGCGUAAAGCGCGCGUAGGCGGUCUGAUAAGCCGGUUGUGAAAGCCCCGGGCUCAACCUGGGAAUGGCAUCCGGAACUGUCAGGCUAGAGUGCAGGAGAGGAAGGUAGAAUUCCCGGUGUAGCGGUGAAAUGCGUAGAGAUCGGGAGGAAUACCAGUGGCGAAGGCGGCCUUCUGGACUGACACUGACGCUGAGGUGCGAAAGCGUGGGUAGCAAACAGGAUUAAAUACCCUAGUAGUC